GUGCUCACUUCGGCUGCACAAAUACUAAAAUUGGAAUGAUACAGAGAAGAUUAGCAUGGCCCCUGCACAAGGAUGGCAUGUAAAUUCAUGAAGCGUUCCAUAUUUUU
ensembl:snRNA U6 U6 spliceosomal RNA